GACGAACGCUGGCGGCGUGCUUAACACAUGCAAGUCGAACGGAAAGGCCCUGCUUUUGUGGGGUGCUCGAGUGGCGAACGGGUGAGUAACACGUGAGUAACCUGCCCUUGACUUUGGGAUAACUUCAGGAAACUGGGGCUAAUACCGGAUAGGAGCUCCUGCUGCAUGGUGGGGGUUGGAAAGUUUCGGCGGUUGGGGAUGGACUCGCGGCUUAUCAGCUUGUUGGUGGGGUAGUGGCUUACCAAGGCUUUGACGGGUACCCGGCAUGAGAGGGUGACCGGCCACAUGGGGACUGAGAGACGGCCCAGACUCCUACGGGAGGCAGCAGGGGGGAAUAUUGCACAAUGGGCGGAAGCCUGAUGCAGCAACGCCGCGUGCGGGAUGACGGCUUUCGGGUUGUAAACCGCUUUCGCCUGUGACGAAGCGUGAGUGACGGUAAUGGGUAAAGAAGCACCGGCUAACUACGUG
rnacentral:rRNA from 1 species